rnacentral:tRNA from 1 species
GCUUUCGUGGUGUAAUGGUCAGCACACUCGGCGAGUAUUCGAGAGAUCUGAGGUUCGAAUCCCGGCGAGGGCA